UGUGCGGAUUGGCAAAAAAUGCGGAAUAACCCUUUAACCGUACAUUUGACAGAUACGCGCGCAUUGACUUUUUCGUAGAUCUUAUUGAGUUACAUGUGUUUGUCAAUUUUUGUGUCAUUUUGACAAAGCGUAUAGGCGUGACACUCAACAAUGUGUAUUUUUACCUUAGGGGACAAGAAAAAAUGGACUUUUUUCUCCUGCCAUGGGGGGGCGCUCUUUUGGGGAGUAAAAAUUCCUUCACAAAUGUGUUGAUGGCUGGACAUUGCAUCAUCCUAGAAAACUUGGAGGCCAGUGAGGACAAAAAUAAAAAGUUAUAAGACUUUUAAAUAUGUGGAUUUUAGUGUUAUCUUUGGCGCCCCCUAGAACCUAAACCUUGGGGUGCAGCGUCAUGAUUUUGAUAACUUUUAAUGGCCACGGGGUGUAGAUUGGCCUGAGCAAAUGUGGUGCCGGUGGAACGAAAGCCUUCGGAGGAGUUAGCCACAUUCCAAUGUGUGCGGAUCAGCAAAAAAUGCGGAAUAACCCUUUAACCGUACAUUUGACAGAUACGCGCGCAUUGACUUUUUCGUAGAUCUUAUUGAGAUACAUGUGUGUGUCAAUUUUUGUGUCAUUUUGACAAAGCGUAUAGGUGUGACACUCAACAAUGUGUAUUUUCACCUUAGGGGACAAGAAAAAAUGGACUUUUUUCUCCUGCCAUGGGGGGGCGCUCUUUUGGGGAGUAAAAAUUCCUUCACAAAUGUGUUGAUGGCUGGACAUUGCAUCAUCCUAGAAAACUUGGAGGCCAGUGAGGACAAAAAUAAAAAGUUAUAAGACUUUUAAAUAUGUGGAUUUUAGUGUUAUCUUUGGCGCCCCCUAGAACCUAAACCUUGGGGUGCAGCGUCAUGAUUUUGAUAACUUUUAAUGGCCACGGGGUGUAGAUUGGCCUGAGCAAAUGUGGUGCCGGUGGAACGAAAGCCUUCGGAGGAGUUAGCGAAAUUCCAAUGUGUGCGGAUCGGCAAAAAAUGCGAAAUAACCCUUUAACCGUAAUUUUGACAGAUACGGCCGCACUGACUUUUUUGUAGAUCUUAUUGAGAUACAUAUGUGUGUCAAUUUUUGUGUCAAUAUGACAAAGCGUACAGGCGUGACAGUCAAUAGUGUGAAUUUCCACCUUAGGGGGCGCUAUGGAGCCAUUUUGCAUUUUAUUGUUUGGGCGACUUCAGAAUAUCGAAUUUUUCACCAGGCCCGGUCGUCCUGCCAAAUUUCAUGAGUUUUCGCCAGUGGGAAGUGGGCCAUUUUCCAGUUCAAAGGGGAGGAAAAAGAAGAAAGAAAGAAAGAAAGAAAGAAACAAAGAAAAACCACUUGGGGAAUAAUAGGGCCUACGCCCGGCUGCUCUGCAGCUGGCUCGGGCCCUAACUAGGGCCCCGGUGGGGCACUGGCGGGCCCGAGCCGUGUCGCGCCGCCCCCAGUGCGACCGCCUACCCCUCCCGAUCGCGUCACACUCAAGGUCCAAAGAUGGUGUGCGCACUUGUCUGUGGUCAUUUACCAUUAUAAUGAAUGGGAGGCGCAGUUUCUACCAAAACGCUCGCUGCAGACAAACUCCAUGUCCUUUUUGAAAAAAGUCUGGACCAUGAGUGAGGGCACAAACACAGCUAGUAUAUAUCCAAAUGGCAAGUUGCUCCUCCUUUCGGUUUUGCCGAGAGAGCGAUACAUUUGAGCCAUUGAGCGAUGGGCAGGAAAAACUUGACUUUUUCUCCUGCCAUGGGGGGGCGCUCUUUUGGGGAGUAAAAAUUCCUUCACAAAUGUGUUGAUGGCUGGACAUUGCAUCAUCCUAGAAAACUUGGAGGCCAGUGAGCACAAAAAUAAAAAGUUAUAAGACUUUUAAAAAUGUGGAUGUUUGGGUCCUCUUUGGCGCCCCCUAGAACGUAGACCGUGGGGUGCAGCGUCAUGAUUUUUACAACUUUGAAUGGCCAUGGGGUGUAGAUUGGCCUGAGCAAAUUUGGUGUCAGUGGGACGAAAGCCUUAGGAGGACUAAGCCACAUUCCAAUGUGUGCGAAUCUGCAAAAAAUGCGAAAAAGCCCUUUAACCGUACAUUUUACAGAUACGCACGCAUUGACUUUUUCGUAGAUCUUAUUGAGAUGCACGUGAUUGUCAAAUUUUGUGUCAACAUGACAAAGCGUACAGGCGUGACAUUCAACAAUGUGUAUUUUCGCCUUGGGGGACAAGAAAAAAUGGACUUUUUUCUCCUGCCAUGGGGGGGCGCUCUUUUGGGGAGUAAAAAUUCCUUCACAAAUGUGUUGAUGGCUGGACAUUGCAUCAUCCUAGAGAACUUGGAGGCCAGUGAGGACAAAAAUAAAAAGUUAUAAGACUUUUAAGACUGUGGAUUUUUGGGUUAUCUUUGGCGCCCCCUAGAACCUAAACCGUGGGGUGCAGCGUCAUGAUUUGUACAACUUUGAAUGGCCAUGGGUUGUAGAUUGGCCUGAGCAACUAUGGUGUCGGUGGGACGAAAGCCUUCGGAGGAGUUAGCGAAAUUCCAAUGUGUGCGAAUCGGCAAAAAAUGCAAAAUAGCCCUUUUACCGUACAUUAUACAGAUACGCGCUCUUUGACUUUUUCGUAGAUCUAAUUGAGAUACACAUGAUUGUCAAUUUUUGUGUCAAUAUGACAAAGAGUUCAGGCGUGACACUCAACAAUGUGUAUUUUCACCUUAGGGGACAAGAAAAAAUUGACUUUUUUCUCCUGCCAUGGGGGGGCGCUCUUUUGGGGAGUAAAAAUUCCUUCACAAAUGUGUUGAUGGCUGGACAUUGCAUCAUCCUAGAAAACUUGGAGGCCAGUGAGGACAAAAAUAAAAAGUUAUAAGACUUUUAAAUAUUUGGAUUUUAGGGUUAUCUUUGGCGCCCCCUAGAACCUAAACCGUGGGGUGCAGCGUCAUGAUUUUUACAACUUUUAAUGGCCAUGGGGUGUAGAUUGGCCUGAGCAAAUUUGGUGCCGGUGGAAUGAAAGCCUUCGGAGGAGUUAGCGAAAUUCCAAUGUGUGCGGAUCGGCAAAAAAUGCGAAAUAAACCUUUAACCGUACAUUAUACAGAUACGCGCUCUUGACUUUUUCGUAGAUCUUAUUGAGAUACACGUGUGUGUCAAUUUUUGUGUCAAUAUGACAAAGCGUUUAGGCGUGACACUCAACAAUGUGUAUUUUCAUGUUAGGGGACAAGAAAAACUUGACUUUUUUCUCCUGCCAUGGGGGGGCGCUCUUUUGGGGAGUAAAAAUUC